GCGGCCGCAGAGUUUGAUCAUGGCUCAGGAUGAACGCUAGCGGCAGGCUUAAUACAUGCAAGUCGAGGGGCAGCAGGUCCGUAGCAAUACGGAUGCUGGCGACCGGCAAACGGGUGCGGAACACGUACAGAACCUUCCUUCGAGCGGGGAAUAGCCCGGAGAAAUCCGGAUUAAUACCCCAUAGUAUGGUGAAGAGGCAUCUCUUUACUAUUAAAGAUUUAUCACUUGAAGAUGGCUGUGCGGCUGAUUAGGUAGUUGGCGGGGUAACGGCCCACCAAGCUUGCGAUCAGUAACUGGUGUGAGAGCACGACCAGUCACACGGGCACUGAGACACGGGCCCGACUCCUACGGGAGGCAGCAGUAAGGAAUAUUGGUCAAUGGACGAAAGUCUGAACCAGCCAUGCCGCGUGGAGGAUGAAGGUCCUCUGGAUUGUAAACUUCUUUUAUAUGGGACGAAAAAAGACCUUUCCAGGUCGUCUGACGGUACCCAUACGAAUAAGCACCGGCUAACUCCG
rnacentral:rRNA from 1 species